CCUACGGGUGGCUGCAGUGGGGAAUCUUGCGCAAUGGGCGAAAGCCUGACGCAGCGACGCCGCGUGGGUGAUGAAGGCCUUCGGGUUGUAAAGCUCUUUGGGUGGAGACGAAUAAGUCGUGGCUAACAUCCACGAUGAUGACGGUAUCCACAUAACAAGCACCGGCUAACUCUGUGCCAGCAGCCGCGGUAAGACAGAGGGUGCAAACGUUGUUCGGAAUUACUGGGCGUAAAGCGCGUGUAGGCGGCCAGAAAUCCCGCGGCUCAACCAAGGAAGUGCAUUCGAGACCGCAUGGCUGGAGUCCCGGAGAGGAAGGUGGAAUUCUCGGUGGAGAGGUGAAAUUCGUAGAUAUCGAGAGGAACACCGGUGGCGAAAGCGGCCUUCUGGACGAGGACUGACGCUGAGAUGCGAAAGCGUGGGGAGCAAACAGGAUUAGAUACCCGAGUAGUC
rnacentral:rRNA from 1 species